UGAGACAGGGUUUCUCUGUGUAGCCUUGGCUGUCCUGGACUUACAUUGUAGAUCAGGCUGGCCUCAAACUCACAGAGAUCUGCCUGCCUCUGCCACCAAGUGCUGGGAUUACAGGCAAGUGCCUCCACGCCCGGC
rnacentral:sRNA from 1 species